GUUAGCGUCAUAUCGCCUCAAAUAAGUUAAUGUCGAAAAUGAUGACCGAAUGGCAGAAGCACACACAUACAUUUAGUUAACUUGAAUAAAGUUAACGUUAGUGAAAACCAUUGUGCUCCCGUUAUGAGUUAGCUUAACGUUGGUCAUACUAGCCAGGUGUGAGUCAAUGAACAGACAGCUCUAAAGUUAACGUUAGUUCACAAACAUACUGGGGCAACAAAGCAUGUUCUCGUCAAAAAACCUUUUGUAAAUACGCUCUGUGGGAAUGCUUAGUCCAUUGACAAUUUAUACAGUCUUUGGGUUGUCACAUUUAAGAUAAAAAACUUCAGCCGAAGCUUUAAAAGGCUUGUUGUCGGCUAGCUGAGGCAAAAUUGUGAACCGAUAUGAACCAUUGACCGUAUACUUUGAACAUGGAGCUGUGAUAACAAGCGAUAGUUAUAACUGACGUUUGAAACUCUUAUUGAUACCAUUUAUUUGUUAAACACAAAUUUGAACGAACACUUCUUGUCUAUGCAAAGUUUCCCUGUAGGUAAUCCAGACAGGCUGGGUGCUGGAGAGGGCUCUGGACUCCUAACUUCAAUUCUCGUCUGUGCAGUCGACACUCGGAAGCAUCACUUCAGCACUGAUUCCAUGAUCUGGAACAUUUUGAAAUCCUACCAGAUGGGGCAGAAGUCAUUGAGCAGUGGCAGCUUCUGAUUUCAAGGACUUUGUUCACCUUUAUUUACAGCAUUUGCAUCUGUGUCUUUAAAGUGAUCUAAUAUGUAUAGACUAUGUACUAGCUUAGUACAUAUUAGUUUUUGUUAUUUUAGUUUCACAAAUUCAGUGGUUACCUGUAAUGCUCAAGAUAUACAAGUAAAAAAUCACCUUUA